rnacentral:rRNA from 1 species
UGAGUAAUACAUCGGAACGUGUCUUCUAGUGGGGGAUAACUGCCCGAAAGGGCAGCUAAUACCGCAUGAGACCUAAGGGUGAAAGCGGGGGAUCGCAAGACCUCGCGCUGGAAGAGCGGCCGAUGUCCGAUUAGCUAGUUGGUGAGGUAAAGGCUCACCAAGGCGACGAUCGGUAGCUGGUCUGAGAGGACGACCAGCCACACUGGGACUGAGACACGGCCCAG